CGGGAUAUCCCGUGGCCACGCCUGGCCGAGGGUCGGCUU
rnacentral:rRNA from 1 species